AAAAAAAAAAAGCACUUGAUACUGGCUCAAUCGCUCGACGCGCGGAGCCAUAGAACGAAGAAGAAGAAGAAGAAGCCAGCCAUGCGGUGCCAACCCAUAACCCUGUUGUAAAGUUUAUUUAAAUUUUUAAGCAAGUUUGAUUGCCCUGCGAACAGCUUAUUUGGCCCAGGAGAAAAUAUCGCCAUAACUGUAAGUAGAAGUGCGAUACGAAUUACGAAUACAGCACGACAUUCGACAAUGACUUCCAAUGAAUCAAAUAUGGGCGUCAAUAAUUCUCACAACCUGAACUUCAUUGAAAAAUUAGAGGGCUUAAGAAACUAUACUAAUUAGAAAUUUGCAAUGGGAAUGCUUCUUGAUCUGGAAGGCUUAUGGAAUUGCGUUGAUGGCACGGAAGGUCGCCGCACGUGGUAGCAAACCUUGGCUUGCAGCCUGCCCUAUUUCAUCAUGUGCGAGGCUGUACUACAGCGAAUGAGGCAUAGCAAAAGCUUGCAGACUGUUUCGAAGACAGGCUUAUAUCGACGUGUCCUAGCCAACUACUGAAUACAGUCAAUACCCUAUUAUGUCUGAUUAUUUAAAUGGUGUCAUACGGUUGGUACAACAACUUGCAGAUAUAGGAAAGAUUGUGGAUAAUAAAGAAGUGGCAGAGAUUUUACUGUCAGAUCUACCUCAAGAAUAUGAUGUUUGUUGUAUCCAGCCCUGAGACAGCAUGUUUAGCUAAUAGCUUGACAAGUGAGGUGGUUAGAAUGCGACUACUACAAGAUCAUAGGUGAAGUACUAACACCAACUCAACAGCCUACAUCACAAACAAGAAAAGCAAGAAGAAAAACAAGGCCCCAUUGUCAGCUGUACAUGUUGCAGGAAAAGCAAUAAUACAGUUCAGCACUGUUUCAAGAGGAAGCACAACCAAUAUAAUCAAAACGAGAAGGAAGAACACAACAUUGUUGUUUCGGCAUAUUCAGCGACAACUGCUGCUGAUGACUUUAUUAUAGACUCUGGUGCGUCUUGUCCCAUGGUGAAGGCUAGAUGACAAGCUAGUGAUAGACGCCAAGGAUAGAAGUUGUAACAUCUCUGUAGCAAACGGCCAAAAUAAUUAAAACAAAGAGCCAAAUAGUUGCGUUUUUUGUCUUACCGGUAAGAUGCACGAGUCAUCUUAUCCCCAGUCAAGUACAAAACAUGCUACUUCUCCGUUGGACCUGAUCCAUAGUGACUUAUGUGGCGCAAUCCAAGUCAGCAGCUGGGGUGGAGCUCGCUUCUUACUACACUGAUGACAGUACCAGAAAAACCUUUGGUUACCUUAUGAAGAAUUAAUCCAAGAUGUGACUUUAAGCCAACCAGUGCUGCCAGUGAAGAUUCUGCAGAGGACAUUGAUGAUGAUUGUGAGGUGAUAAAUCAAAUAAACAAAGUCUAAGAGAUGAUGUUUAUAGCUAUAGACAAUUAUUAAGAUCUUUAAUGUAUUUAUCUGUCUGUACUCGACCUGAUAUAUCAUAUGCUUGCAACCAACUUAGUCAAUACAUUACAUGUUUUGAUAUAGAUCAUUGGCGUGCUGCUAAAAGUGUUCUAAGGUAUUUGGCAGGAACUAUAAAUUAUGGACUUUGUUAUUCUAAAGUAAAUAAUUUAAGUGUAGAUGUUUUACUGAUGCAGAUUGGGCUAAUGAUCUGUGUGAUCGUAAAUCCUACACAGGAUUACGUAUAUUAUAUUAUUAUACAUUUAAUGACUAAAUCAUUAAAUUGGGUGGCAACGUUUUCAACUGGGAAUCUAGAAAACAGUGUUGCAUUGCCUUGUCUAUUAUGAAGGCUGAGUAUUUGGCAAUUAGUGAUGUAUGUAAAGAUAUAUGUUUUGUUCAGAACUUCUUAACAGAAAUUUAUGACAGGAAUUUAAGUGUUCCACUAUACAAUGAUAACCAAAGUUCUCAGAAAUUGCUGCUAGUAAAGGAGUACUCAUAUAAAUGAACAAAAUACAUAGAUUUGCGCUAUCAUUUUGUAAAAGAUCUUGUCCAAAAAAAGAUAUAUUUUAUAAAAUAAAUGUAAAUACUUUACAUUUAUUAUACCAACAGAAAAAAUGUUAGCGGAUGUGUUAACAAAGCCUUUAUGUUGUAAUGAACAUUAUAAUUGUGUGAGAGAGAUAAAUCUCAAAGAAAUCAAAUAGUGUCAGUUUAGGUUAAUAUCGAGGGUUUCACAGUUCAUCUGAUGUCAUACUUUGUAGUAUGUGUUUGCAUAUUUACUAGGAUAAAUACACAUUAGGGUGUCCCUUAUAUGGGCAAAAAAAAAUUUUUUUUAGAUAUUAAAACGCAUACCCCCUAUUUCUUUUUAGACUACCUAGACUAACUUAAAUACAAAAUUUAAUCUUCCUACGUGAACGUUAACCCGUGCCGACAGGGCCCGGAAGAUUUAAAAAAUUGCGGUUUUUGACCCUUUCCGUUAUGUAACUAAAUAAAUUGAAAUACUAAAUUUUUUAUAAAAUAUUUAUUAAAAGAUAAAAUUACAGAUCAGGCAGGAUAGUUUUUUUAGGAUAAGUUUCUUUUAUAGUCCGGGUACAGAGUUCUAUGCUCCUAAACACAACGUAGCAAAAAUUGCUUUUGCUCUUCCUUUGCAGUAUCGAACCACGAAAAUCUUGCAUAAGUUUUACAGCUAUUUAUAGCCUAUAUCAUUAACAGCCCUUAGAGAAAGCACUUUCCUUUUUGCUUCUGUAUAGGUAACACCCCAUCCCCCACGUCAUCCCAUAUAGAAAUGGGUGUCUGGAGGAACGCCCUAUCAAUUUUUAAUCGACUAAAUAAAUUUGUGCUCUUGACAGACACAAAAUCACUUAAUGAUUUUCCUGCGACAAUAAAUAAGACAGUAUUAACAAUUUAUAAAUUUCUCCAAAUGAAAUUAAAAUUGGCAGGCGUUUCUUUAGAACUUCUUAGGUACAUCAAGUCCAGGUAAUAAUAUCCCAUCCCAGUGAACGGUCACCAUUUCAAACAUAUUAUUUUGAAAAUCGGAUUUAAUAGAUUCUGCUCUAUCCUUUCGACCCUGUGUGCGAAUACGUUAAAUAGACGACAUGUUUGUCGGGUAAUCAUCACAGCCAAGAUCUAGUGCUUCUACCACAGCCUGAAGUUUAUAGACAGAAUCCCUUAUGCUUAAUUGACAUCUAUCUAAAGCUGCAACUAUCUUAGGCGUGAUGAAGUCUUUCCUUCCUCUUUUUGUAGUAGUUUCUGAAUUUACCGUUUAAGAGGUGGAUGCCAAUUGGUCCUCAAAACUUCCAUUAGAGCUGGUAAGUUGUUUUUGUUGUCCCUCCGCUUGAAUAACAUGUUGCGUUCUAACUGAUGACGAUAAACCUCCAUAAUACAUUUGCUCACAUCUUUUUUUCUCUAAAUUAAUUUGCUUUGUCUUGCCCUUUCUUCUUUUUCGGCCAACUCUUUGUCUACACCCGCUAAAUAUCCUGGACGCCCUGGUUCUCAUGUUUUUGUAAAAAUACUUUGUCUUCUUCAAUUUUAUUCUGUUCUAAAGUAUCAGCGUGCGCUAUGUCAAAUAAUCAAAGCAAACCAAGCAUGGUGAAGAUCAACAAGUUUUUUUACCCAGUUAGGUAUAGCUCUGGUAGGGAUUCUAGCUUUUUUUCAAUAUACAAUACACUCCCGAAUGACGAGAUUAGCGCUUUCACUAACAGACAAUUUCACUUCGCGAAUGUUAAACAAAAGUACUGCUAGAACUUGACGAUUUGACGGUAACUUUGCGCCUGUUAUUUGAUAAUUCGCGUUACUAACUAAGAAAAUACAUUUUUUGUUACUUCUGAAAUCCACUGCCAUCUUUUAAAUGUAAAACAAUACGUGUUAAUCGUGAGAAUAAUUGACAACAAAUGACAAAUACCGCGAGUAUGCGCCGCUACUAUGUAUGAACAUGUUUCGAUGCAAGUCGGCACGGGUUAUCGUUAUUCAAUUAAGGUAAAAAAUUAUUUUCGAGUGUUUUAGAGGCAAAUGAACAAAACUAGGACCUAUGCGUUACAAAUUUAAAACUUUGAAAAAUAAGGGACACCCUAAUACACAUAUUUUCUUUUAUAUUAGUAGGUAUACUAGCGGACGUCCGUGUGAAACCCUACUACUACCCUACCCUACUCUCACUCUACAGCUACCCUACAAUACAGGGGAUGAGUAGGGACUCAACCCUACCCCUAACCUCCUCCUACAGACCUCUACAGAUUUAUUAUAAGUAUAGAUAAAGACAUAUUAAUUAUGAUACUUGUUUUGUUUGUAAAAGUAUAAGAAGGAGUGUUGGAAAUAUUGACUAUGCGUCUAUAUCUCUACAUCUCUUUUAUAAUUGUUUAUGGAAACGCUGAUCUGUCAUCUAUGUAAGCUUGUCAUAAUAUGUGUUUUUCCAGAGCCAGCCAUGCGGUGCAAACCCUUAGCCCAUAUUGUUGUAAAGUUUAUUUCAAUAAAAGCAAGUUUGAUUCUUGAA
rnacentral:lncRNA from 1 species